rnacentral:lncRNA from 1 species
UUUAUGUCCUGGGCUUUGCUGUCUGAAGCUCCAAGGCCGCCAGCAAUGGGAAGUUCUUUGACCCAUGGAACAGCCAAAGGACACCUGCAUUUUACUUGUGAACGGAUUAUGUGUGGAACUCCUCCUGUGGUGGUACCAAAGCAAUGCAAUGUCUUCAUAGCACCAGGAGUGCUCUCCCAGCCUGAAGGUGUGUCAGUUCCAAGCCAGCCUUUCACCAAAACACCCAGACGUUGGC